rnacentral:lncRNA from 10 species
UAAAUAGCUGGGACUACAGGCAUGCACCACCAUGCCCAGCUAAUUUUUGUAUUUUUAGUAGAGACGGGGUUUCACCAUGUUGGCCAGCAUGGUCUCCAUCUCUUCACCUUGUGAUCCGCCCACCUUGGCCUCCCGAAGUGCUGGGAUUACAGGCGUGAGCCACCGCGCCCGGCCUUCCUCUGAAAAACUUUCUAAUGGAACAUCUCCCAGAACCAGUUAUACUGAGGGUCCUGAGAUCUGCUAUAACAUCACCAUCCUUUCAACCCAGAGGUGUGUGUUUGUGGCCCAUUCAUUUGGCCCUCACCACAUCCUGCCUUGUAUUGCUAGUUUAUCUUUUUAUUGUCUUUGUUCUCCCCCUACAUUCCAAGCUCUCGAGUGGCAGGUUUGAGGAGUACAGCAUUAUGGUUAAGAGCAUGAACUGCGGACUGAGGUGGUAAAUCCUGCCUUCUCCACACAUGUUAUGUGACCCUGGGUAAUCAGGAAACUGAGUCACGUCUUCCACAUCUGUAAGAAGAGGUAAUGAUUAUAAAUACAGGACUGCUUUCAAGAUAAAAUAAUUACAAAGUGCUUAGAAGAGCAUCUGGUCUAUAGCAAGCAUUCAAUAAAUAAAUUGUUUUUAUUAUCA